CUUGAAUUUUGUUACUAGAAACGAAAAGAGUCACAGACUUUUAUUUCUGAAAAUCUAAACCAUCCUCUUGUCUGUUUUUUUUUUCAUAUGAAGUCUUUACCCUUGAAGAAGUAUUGAGAUUGUGGAAAUCUACGACGGAAAAAAAUUAAUCGGUAAAUCAUGGAAGGAGAGAAUCUGAUUAAAGAUCACGGCUUUGUGGCCGCUCCUCUGACGUUCUUCGUCGUCGUCGUGUUCCAGUUGCUGUCAAAGAGGCUAGACCAGUUGAAGAAGAAAGGGUCGAAGAACACGAGGGAAGCGGACUGAGAUCUGAGAUUAAGCAGCUUUUGAGAGAGGCCACUGGGUUGUCUCAGCCAGCCACGUUUGCGCAAGCGGCUAAGCUUAGGAGGUCUGCAGCUAGUAAAGAGAAAGAACUUGCACAAUAUUUGGAGCAUCACAAUAAAGAAAUUAAUCUGUCAUACGAUCUGUAUGGAAAGGUUCUGCUUGCUUCAAAGGUUGUGGUAUAUAUAAUCUUGGUACUUUGGUUCUGGAGGACUCCAAUUGCCAUUAUUGCUAAACAACUUGUUCAACCCUUUGGGAGGCUGUUAUCUUGGGGGACAGGAGGUCACUUGACAGGCCAUGUGAUGGUUGGGAUCAUACCGUGGCUAAUACUCUCAACCAGAGUGAGCAAAUAUGUGUGUAGGUUCGUGGAGUUCUAAACCACAGUCCUGAAGAGAGUGGAGUCUAAUGUUUUAGGAGUCGCUUGUGGUCAGACUUGUUCUUUUUCUCAUCAUCUACCUACCUUGACAUUUUUGUACAUGAUACGAAUCUUGUUCUCCGGUUUGUGUUGGAUUUGACCAAUAACAAGUUUUUUUUUGUGUUUUCAUAGUUGUAACGACAUUGGCCGAAUGUCACUAAGAUCAGUCUCCACUC